GAUGAAAGUGUUGGUGAUGACAAAUAAUAGGGGAAGUUGCUGACAGAAGAGAGAGAGCACAUGCCGCCAUUGGCAAACAAGCUUCUUUGCCUUUGUGGAAAUGUGCUCUCUUUAUUCUGUCAACCAUCCCACCGCUGCCUCUGCCGCCGCCGUCGUCAUCUACCACCGUUGUGUAACCAUUCAAUGAUUCUACGUUUGAAGUAGGCACUUUUCCAUCCAUAGAGGGAAGCACUUUCAUAUUCAGAAGGCUCAAUUUAACUGCUGGACAAAAGCUCUCUCUCUCAAUUUCUGGUGUGGACCUUUAGAUGAUUGCAUGUUUAUGUUAAUUUACUUGCUUUACAUUAUUAGAGCAAAGAUGGUUCUUGGAUUAGCAAAUGAAGGUGGCAGAAGUGAAUCAAAGAGCUCCACAAAUUACACAUGAAUCAUGAGUCAUGACUCGUGACAAUUGAGAACUAUCAGUUUUGUUUCAUUUUUAUAACAAACUUUGAGUUUCUAAUUCUUCGA